rnacentral:rRNA from 1 species
GGGGGGGGGGGGGGGGGGGGGGGGGGGGGGGGGGGGGGGGGGGGGCGCGGCCUUCGGGCGGGCGGCGAGCGGCGGACGGGUGAGUGGUGCAUCGGAACCUGCCCAGUCGGGGGGGGUGACACUGCGGAAGAAGGGCGAAUACCGCAUACGUCCUGAGGGGGAACGCGGGUGAUCGCAAGACCUCGCGCGAUUGGAGUGGCGGAUGUCAGAUUAGCUAGUUGGUUGGGGAACGGCCUACCAAGGCGACGAUCUGUAGCUGGUCUGAGAGGAUGAUCAGCCACACUGGGACUGAGACACGGCCCAGACUCCUACGGGAGGCAGCAGUGGGGAAUUUUGGACAAUGGGGGCAACCCUGAUCCAGCCAUUCCGCGUGAGUGAAGAAGGCCUUCGGGUUGUAAAGCUCUUUCGGCAGGAACGAAACGGUGGGCUCUAACAUAGUCCGCUAAUGACGGUACCUGAAGAAGAAGCACCGGCUAACUACGUG